rnacentral:rRNA from 1 species
ACCUACGGGGGGCAGCAGUGAGGAAUAUUGGUCAAUGGUCGGGAGACUGAACCAGCCAAGCCGCGUGAGGGAGGAAGGUACAGAGUAUCGUAAACCUCUUUUGUCAGGGAACAAAGGCGGGGACGCGUCCCCGGAUGAGUGUACCUGAAGAAAAAGCAUCGGCUAACUCCGUGCCAGCAGCCGCGGUAAUACGGAGGAUGCGAGCGUUAUCCGGAUUUAUUGGGUUUAAAGGGUGCGCAGGCGGUCUGUUAAGUCAGCGGUCAAAGCCGGGGGCUCAACCCCGGCCCGCCGUUGAAACUGGCAGG